rnacentral:lncRNA from 1 species
CAACAAGUCUGCGAUAUUAAUUAAUGUUUACUAAUAGCAUUUAAUUUAAUAUUUAUCACCAGGAACGUUGCUGGCUUUCAUCAUUUCGAGGUUCUUUAGACCAAAAAUUAUCAACACCGUCAUAGUUGAAUAGAGCGGAAUAUGAGAAUGAAGUUAUAAGAAAAGUGACAGAGAGAGGGAUGUAGAAAGAUAUAGAGAAAGAAGAGAAGGGGAAAGAUACAGAGAAAAUGAGAUAUAUAUUUAAAGACAGAAGGAGAUAGAUACAUAUAGAAAGAUAAAAGGGAGGUUUUAUUUCGGUCAAAAACAGCGCUUAAUGACCUUGUAGGCCCCAAAAUAGAUAAUAGCAACAUGCUUUGGCUAUUUGAUACGACUACUUGCUAAAUUUCAGACUGAUCUAUUCAACCAUUUUUGAUAACACCAAAAACAGACUUACACAUAAGAGUUAAGUGUAAGAUAUGAUAAUUUUUUAUGCUCAAGGGUCUCAAG